AGUGAACGCUGGCGGUAGGCCUAACACAUGCAAGUCGAACGGCAGCACAGUAAGAGCUUGCUCUUACGGGUGGCGAGUGGCGGACGGGUGAGGAAUACAUCGGAAUCUACUUUUUCGUGGGGGUUAACGUAGGGAAACUUACGCUAAUACCGCAUACGACCUACGGUUGAAAGCAGGGGAUCUUCGGACCUUGCGCGAUUGAAUGAGCCGAUGUCGGAUUAGCUAGUUGGCGGGGUAAAGGCCCACCAAGGCGACGAUCCGUAGCUGGUCUGAGAGGAUGAUCAGCCACACUGGAACUGAGACACGGUCCAGACUCCUACGGGAGGCAGCAGUGGGGAAUAUUGGACAAUGGGCGCAAGCCUGAUCCAGCCAUACCGCGUGGGUGAAGAAGGCCUUCGGGUUGUAAAGCCCUUUUGUUGGGAAAGAAAAGCAGCAGGUUAAUACCCCGCUGUUCUGACGGUACCCAAAGAAUAAGCACCGGCUAACUUCGUG
rnacentral:rRNA from 1 species